GAGGAAGACGCCAGGAUGCUCCAGCUCCGGGUCAUCGAGGAGUCACGUAGCGCCUGGUCCAGCCCCAUCGUCCUAGUCCCCAAACCCGACGGAACCUUUAGAUUCAGUGAUGAUUUCCGGAGACUCAAUGAGGUCUCGACUUUGACCCCUAUCCCAUGCCCAGGGUCGACGACCUGAUAGAGCGACUCGGUCCCGCCCGUUACCUCACCAACCUGGACCUCACCAAGGGGUACUGGCAGGUGCCAGUACCAACCGAGUAUACAACGGUUAGUGUUAUGGCGAAACGAAAGUCAUAGACACACUACAUUUAAAAAGAAACCAAGAAAGUCAAAAUAGCCGUUUUAUUAAAGAAUACAAAAAAGUAGUCCCUCCUGGCUCCCGCUAUGCAUCGACGGUCGCUAUGCAACACACUUUAGCGUCCCUCCGAGAGAAGGCUCCGAUAGAGCGGUUUGCCGGCAAUUUAUCCUAUGGAGCAGUUCACUUGCCGUGUGCCUAAGCAUUCGUUAGUCUCUCCAUCGCCUUGCUCACUCCCGGAGUAACAACAUUUACACCCUCUCCAUCAUCCAACAUAUGUUUUACUUUGUAACUGUUUCUACUUCCAGGCGCGGAGUGAUAUGCAAACCUUCACAAAAUGAUCGGGCGUCAUAGCAGUUAUGUAUACGCUCAUUAUACAACAGUUGGGAACCAAUCAGAUCGCUGGAUUCAUGUCCCCCGUGGAAUAUAAACUAUUAUACCACGGUCUGCGGGAAUACUCGAUUCUGAUUGGAUGCAGGGUGUGCAUUAACUCCUGAUAUACGGACACCUGGACAAGUAGUUCCGUCAAAUUGUCUGUUUACCGUUCUCAAUUAAUGCGCUAGCUGGCGUAUCGUCUCUAAAAUAGUAGUAACCAUAGCAACGGGAAACAAAACAAAGCUCAGCGGACUAUAAUACCUCCCGCUACCUCCCG